rnacentral:rRNA from 1 species
AACGAACGCUGGCGGCGCGCCUAAUACAUGCAAGUCGAGCGAGAAGGUGUAGCAAUACACUUGUAAAGCGGCGAACGGGUGAGGAAUACAUGGGUAACCUACCAUCGAGUGGGGAAUAACCAGCCGAAAGGUUGGCUAAUACCGCGUACGCCUCCGAGUCUUCGGAUUUGGAGGGGAAAGCCACGCUGAGAGUGUGGCGCUCUUUGAUGGGCUCAUGUCCUAUCAGCUGUUUGGUAGGGGUAACGGCCUACCAAGGCUUUGACGGGGUAGCUGGUCUGAGAGGACGAUCAGCCACACUGGCACUGCGACACGGGCCAGACUCCUACGGGAGGCANCAGUAAAGGAAUAUUGCGCAAUGGGCGAAAGCCUGACGCAGCGACGCCGC